rnacentral:rRNA from 1 species
AUUGAACGCUGGCGGCAGGCCUAACACAUGCAAGUCGAACGGUAACAGGAAGCAGCUUGCUGCUUUGCUGACGAGUGGCGGACGGGUGAGUAAUGUCUGGGAAACUGCCUGAUGGAGGGGGAUAACUACUGGAAACGGUAGCUACUACCGCAUAACGUCGCAAGGCCAAAGAGGGGGACCUUAGGGCCUCUUGCCAUCGGAUGUGCCCAGAUGGGAUUAGCUAGUAGGUGGGGUAACGGCUCACCUAGGCGACGAUCCCUAGCUGGUCUGAGAGGAUGACCAGCCACCCUGGAACUGAGACACGGUCCAGACUCCUACGGGAGGCAGCAGUGGGGAAUAUUGCACAAUGGGCGCAAGCCUGAUGCAGCCAUGCCGCGUGUAUGAAGAAGGCCUUCGGGUUGUAAAGUACUUUCAGCGGGGAGGAAGGGAGUAAAGUUAAUACCUUUGCUCAUUGACGUUACCCGCAGAAGAAGCACCGGCUAACUCCGUG